rnacentral:rRNA from 1 species
GAACUUAAGCAUAUCAAUAAGCGGAGGAAAAGAAACUAACAAGGAUUCCCCUAGUAACGGCGAGUGAAGCGGGAAGAGCUCAAAUUUGAAAUCUGGUGGCCUCAGGCUAUCCGAGUUGUAAUCUAUGGAAACAUUUUCCGCGUUGGCCCAUGUACAAGUCUCUUGGAAUAGAGCGUCAUAGAGGGUGAGAAUCCCGUCCUUGACAUGGACUACCAGUGCUUUGUGAUAUGUUUUCAACGAGUCGAGUUGUUUGGGAAUGCAGCUCAAAAUGGGUGGUAAAUUCCAUCUAAAGCUAAAUAUUGGCGAGAGACCGAUAGCGAACAAGUACCGUGAGGGAAAGAUGAAAAGCACUUUGGAAAGAGAGUUAAACAGUAUGUGAAAUUGUUGAAAGGGAAACGAUUGAAGUCAGUCGUGUCUAUUGGACUCAGCCGGUUCUGCCGGUGUACUUCCUUUAGAUGGGGUCAACAUCAGUUUUGAUCGCUGGAAAAGGGCAGGAGGAAUGUAGCACUCUCGGGUGAACUUAUAGCCUUCUGUCGCAUACAGUGGUUGGGACUGAGGAACGCAGCUUGCCUUUAUGGCCGGGAUUUAUCCACGUACAAGCUUAGGAUGUUGACAUAAUGGCUUUAAACGACCCGUCUUGAAACACGGACCAAGGAGUCUAACAUAUCUGCGAGUAUUUGGGUGUUAAACCCAUCUGCGCAAUGAAAGUGAAUGUAGGAGGGAUCCGCAAGGUGCACCUUCGACCGAUCUGGAUCUUUAGCGAUGGAUUUGAGUAAGAGCAUAUAUGUUGGGACCCGAAA